AUGCUUAUACAUGUUACUAUUGAGAAAGUGAAAGGGUUGAUUACUUUUUUCAAGGGGUAUAGAGAAAGUGGCUUUUUAGAAGCAUUGGAGAUAGCCAAAAAAUUGCACUUGAUAUGGAUAUCGGUACAAAAAAGACGAGAUAUGAAAAGAAAGAGAUAUUUUGAUGAGAACCCAGAUGACACAAAUGUUGCAAGACAGUCCGCAGAGAAAUAAUUUAGAAUCGAUUAUUUUACAACUAUUGUUGAUCAAGCAAUUAUGUCACUUGCAAGCAGAUUUGAACAAUAUGAGGGUUACCAGAAAUAUUUUGGUUUCUUAUUUACUUCCAAAUCAUUGCGAUCAUUGGAUAAUGAGAGUUUGAAAUCUUCUUGUGAUAAUCUUGAGGAUGCCCUUAAAAAAGAUGGCAAAUCUGACAUUGAUGCCAAUGAACUGUACGUGGAGUUGAGGUACUUACAUAUUUCGUUCCAAAGGAUGAUAUGGUGCUAG
rnacentral:rRNA from 1 species